GUGAGCCAGUACAGGAUGGACCCGCGUCUGAUUAGCUAGUUGGUAAGGUAACGGCUUACCAAGGCGACGAUCAGUAGCCGACCUGAGAGGGUGAUCGGCCACAUUGGAACUGAGACACGGUCCAAACCCCUACGGGAGGCAGCAGUGGGGAAUAUUGCACAAUGGGCGAAAGCCUGAUGCAGCAACGCCGCGUGAGUGAUGAAGGCCUUCGGGUCGUAAAACUCUGUCCUCAAGGAAGAUAAUGACGGUACUUGA
rnacentral:rRNA from 1 species